GACGAACGCUGGCGGCGUGCUUAACACAUGCAAGUCGAACGGAAAGGCCCUGCUUUUGUGGGGUGCUCGAGUGGCGAACGGGUGAGUAACACGUGAGUAACCUGCCCUUGACUUUGGGAUAACUUCAGGAAACUGGGGCUAAUACCGGAUAGGAGCUCCUGCUGCAUGGUGGGGGUUGGAAAGUUUCGGCGGUUGGGGAUGGACUCGCGGCUUAUCAGCUUGUUGGUGGGGUAGUGGCUUACCAAGGCCUUGACGGGUAGCCGGCCUGAGAGGGUGACCGGCCACAUUGGGACUGAGAUACGGCCCAGACUCCUACGGGAGGCAGAAGUGGGGAAUAUUGCACAAUGGGCGGAAGCCUGAUGCAGCAACGCCGCGUGCGGGAUGACGGCCUUCGGGUUGUAAACCGCUUUCGCCUGUGACGAAGCGUGAGUGACGGUAAUGGGUAAAGAAGCACCGGCUAACUACGUG
rnacentral:rRNA from 1 species